rnacentral:tRNA from 1 species
GUAGUGGUAGUUCAGUGGUAGAACUCUUGCCUUCCACAUGGGACACCCAGGUUCAAUUUCUGGCCAAUUUC